rnacentral:rRNA from 1 species
CAAAGAUUAAGCCAUGCAUGUCUAAGUACAUACUUUUACAUGGUGAAACCGCGAAUGGCUCAUUAAAUCAGUUAUGGUUCCUUAGAUCGUACAAUCCUACUUGGAUAACUGUGGUAAUUCUAGAGCUAAUACAUGAAAAAGGUCUCCGACCUGACGGAAAGAGAGCGUUUAUUACAACAAGACCAGUCGGGGUCGCAAGGCCCCGUCAUAUUGGUGAAACUGAAUAACUUUGUGCAGAUCGCACGGCCUCGCGCCGGCGACAAAUCUUUCAAAUGUCUGCCCUAUCAACUGACGAUGGUACGUGAUAUGCCUACCAUGGUUGUAACGGGUAACGGAGAAUCAGGGUUCGAUUCCGGAGAGGGAGCAUGAGAAACGGCUACCACAUCC